AUUGAACGCUGGCGGCAGGCCUAACACAUGCAAGUCGAACGGCAGCGGGGGAUAGCUUGCUAUCCUGCCGGCGAGUGGCGGACGGGUGAGUAAUGCAUGGGGAGCUGCCCAGUCGAGGGGGAUAACAACUGGAAACGGUUGCUAAUACCGCAUACGCCCUGAGGGGGAAAGGUGGGGAACUUCGGUCCUACCGCGAUUGGAUGCGCCCAUGUGGGAUUAGCUAGUUGGUGAGGUAACGGCUCACCAAGGCGACGAUCUCUAGCCGGUCUGAGAGGAUGAACAGCCACACGGGAACUGAGACACGGUCCAGACGCCUACGGGAGGCAGCAGUGGGGAAUAUUGCACAAUGGGGGAAACCCUGAUGCAGCCAUGCCGCGUGUGUGAAGAAGGCCUUCGGGUUGUAAAGCACUUUCAGUCAGGAGGAAGGGGUGAUGGCUAAUAACCGCGUCGAUUGACGUUACCCGCAGAAGAAGCACCGGCUAACUCCGUGCCAGCAGCCGCCGUAA
rnacentral:rRNA from 1 species